AUUUAAUUUGUUACAAUUUAGUUUAGUACAGAUUAGUUUAAUCGGUUACAAAUCAAUUACAAAUUUAACAAAGACUUAAUGUAUCAGAGCAAAGUCAAAACCUAUCUUUUUUCCGCUGCUUUUUUUUUUUUUUUUCGCUGCUUGGUGCCAGCUCCUCUUGGGCACACUCUGCGCUUAUGUGAAAGGUUGUUCUGCAUCGUGAAGCUCUUGCUAUCUCUGUGCAAAUCAAACGCAUCCAGUUUGCUUCUGAAGAUGGAAAAUUAUUGCCAUGCGAUCUGUUAUUGUUGCUGCUUUUCACUACCAGGCUGCUGUUGCGUUUCUCUACUACGUUGCCGCUGCCAUUGGUUUCUCUUCACCACGCCACUGCGCCGCCGUGCCACCUUGCCACUGCAGCAUUCACAUCCUUCGGCACGACAUCGCCGCGAUACAUCAAACAACACGCCAUGUACUUGCCGUGGCGAGGGUCACACUUGGCCAUUAUGGAGGAUGGCUCAAAGGCACUGUUGGUGAUCUCAGCAACGGAAAGCUGCUCAUGGUAUGCUUUCUCAGCAGAGAUAACAGGGGCGUUCAAUGUCAAGUGAUCUCCACCAAAUGAAGUUUGUCUUUGAUGCUUGCUUUGGACUUUUGGAAGAAGAUUGAAAAAGUCAAAGUUGAUGGAAGAUUUCUAGAAGUUUCUGUUUUUUGGCCGAUGUAUUUCCGGCAUGUUUAGUUAUAUUCCAAGUUUUCAAUUUUUUUUUCAUUUCCUUUGAUGUUGAUGUAUUGUCUUCUCUAAGCUAGAAGUGUUUUCAACACCUUUCAGCUUGCGGGUAUUAGAGAUAAAAAUUAGUUUAGUUAGUUACAAAUUAGUUAUUAAUUUAGUUUGUUACAAUUUAGUUUAGUUAAUUACAAAUUAGUUUAGUUGGUUACAAAUUAGUUACAAGUUUAACUAUAUAAGACUCAAUGUACUCACGUAAGAAUUAAUUUGCUCAUUUGAGCAUUACACAAAUUAAUAUCAAGUUUCUCUUUUCUCUCGUUUCUAUCUC